GGCAAGAUGGCCGAGCGGUCCAAGGCGUGUGACUCAAGCGAAUGCUUGCCCUAAUUAGGGUAUUCUCAUCUCGGUAUCGGGGCGUGGGUUCAAAUCCCACUCUUGUCA